GCGAGGUGGGCCGGUGGGGGAGGGGGCGCAACUGCAAGGGUUGUCCCGGGACAGUGCCGGUCCGAACCUCACCCCGCCGCCACCCCCGGGCCAGCUGCUGCAGUCAAUAAGGCGAGGACCUAGCAGGCGCUCGUCGCCUUCCCGGUGGGGUUCGCUCGGGUGUUCCUACUAGGGUUGAAGAGGGCUAGGGAGCUGAGCUCCGGAAGGGCGGACGGGAAGCCCCAGCGGCCACUCCUAGAGAGGAGGGCAGCUCGGGAGGCCUGCGCGGAGAGGGCGGGCGGAGCCGCAUGUUGCGUGGAAUUCCCCAGUUCAUUCCCGGGAGAGCUCUGGGCGCACGACAGAGCGGUGGAGGGGCGCCUGGGAGCCCUGGGGGACACCAAGAGAGGCGAGGUUAGGGCCAGUGCGCAACAAACAGGGGGGAACUACGACGCACUGGGUAGAAAGAGUAAGAGAGGCGCGCCCAUUUUGCUGGUGAGGGGGGCACACGGGGAGCCCAAGAAAGACCUAAAGAGGUAGCGGGUGUAAGGCAGCCUGGGGGGCGUUAAAAAGCGGGUGCCGGAGGGAGGCAAGGAGAGGAGGCUAGGUGUGGGAAGAAGCGAGAGGACACUGUUGCCUGGACAGAGCGUGCCGUGCCAAAGAGCAGAAACGGGGGGUCAAGGAGAGGGCAUCAGGAAUCGCCUGGGGACCCCCCGGAGAGUGGCGGAAGCGGUGCCGUUGGGCGCAGCAAAGAGAGAAGGGAGCACAUGCUGAGAUAGAGACAGUCCCGGCCGCUGGAGCGCAGGAGCCCCCGGCGCCGCAGGGAAAGGAACGUAGAGCCUGCGCGCUCUGGGAAUGCACUAACUGCCGCCCACUAGGGUGGCGCGCAUUGGGGCUCUAGAAAAGAGGGUUGAGAAGCCCCGGGCAAGUGCCUAGGAAGGUCAGAAGAGUCAGCCAAGUCCACGGAAGAACUUCCCCGGGUUGGAGACGAAACGCACCCCGGGAGCUGGAAAGAAGAGGGAAGCUAGCCUGGGGGAAGCUUCAUCAGGGCUCCGAGCACCACGAAGAGUGCAGAGGAGGUGCUGAUGAUUGCGGGGAGAGCUCUGAGAGCCUGAGAAAGAUGGGGAAACGGAAGCCCUAGAAGAAAAGAAGACUAAAUGUAUUACCAUCUGACCCACUUCCUGGCUAGCCUGUUCACCUGUCUGCUAUUCUUCACUGAUUUCACAUGAAAAUCGAGACCUCCAGCUUCCCUAGAAGAGAGUCUGAGAUGGGACUGCACUGCCCCCAUUUCUGCUGCAUGCUGGACAUGCCUUUAGAUAGGUGAA